GAUGAACGCUGGCGGCGUGCCUAAUACAUGCAAGUCGAGCGAAUGGAUUAAGAGCUUGCUCUUAUGAAGUUAGCGGCGGACGGGUGAGUAACACGUGGGUAACCUGCCCAUAAGACUGGGAUAACUCCGGGAAACCGGGGCUAAUACCGGAUAACAUUUUGAACCGCAUGGUUCGAAAUUGAAAGGCGGCCUCGGCUGUCACUUAUGGAUGGACCCGCGUCGCAUUAGCUAGUUGGUGAGGUAACGGCUCACCAAGGCAACGAUGCGUAGCCGAGCUGGGAGGGUGAUCGGCCACACUGGGACUGAGGCACGGCCCAGACUCCUGCGGGAGGCAGCAGUAGGGAAUCUUCCGCAAUGGACGAAAGUCUGACGGAGCAACGCCGCGUGAGUGAUGAAGGCUUUCGGGUCGUAAAACUCUGUUGUUAGGGAAGAACAAGUGCUAGUUGAAUAAGCUGGCACCUUGACGGUACCUAACCAGAAAGCCACGGCUAACUACGUGCCAGCAGCCGCCGUAA
rnacentral:rRNA from 1 species